UAGGGAAUUUCGGCAAUGGGGGAAACCCUGACCGAGCAACGCCGCGUGAACGAAGAAGGCCUUCGGGUCGUAAAGUUCUGUUGUACGGGAAGAACGUCGGAUGGAGGAAAUGCCAUGCGAGUGACGGUACCGAACAUAGAAAGCCACGGCUAACUACGUGCCAGCAGCCGCGGUAAUACGUAGGUGGCGAGCGUUAUCCGGAAUCAUUGGGCGUAAAGAGGGAGCAGGCGGUGAUACAGGUCUGGAGGUGAAAGCCCGAAGCUAAACUUCGGGAAGCCCCGGAAACCGGAUCACUGGAGUGCGGAAGAGGAUCGUGGAAUUCCAUGUGUAGCGGUGAAAUGCGUAGAUAUAUGGAGGAACACCAGUGGCGAAGGCGACGGUCUGGUCCGCAACUGACGCUCAGUCCCGAAAGCGUGGGGAGCAAAUAGGAUUAGAUACCCUGGUAGU
rnacentral:rRNA from 1 species